GUGAGGAAUAUUGGUCAAUGGACGGAAGUCUGAACCAGCCAAGUAGCGUGCAGGAUGACGGCCCUAUGGGUUGUAAACUGCUUUUUUAGGGGAAUAAAGUUAGCCACGUGUGGUUAUUUGCAUGUACCCUACGAAUAAGGACCGGCUAAUUCCGUGCCAGCAGCCGCGGUAAUACGGAAGGUCCGGGCGUUAUCCGGAUUUAUUGGGUUUAAAGGGAGCGCAGGCCGUUUGGUAAGCGUGUUGUGAAAUGUCCGGGCUCAACCUGGGCACUGCAGCGCGAACUGUCAGACUUGAGUGCACAGGAAGCGGGCGGAAUUCGUGGUGUAGCGGUGAAAUGCUUAGAUAUCACGAAGAACUCCAAUUGCGAAGGCAGCUCGCUGUAGUGUUACUGACGCUAAAGCUCGAAAGUGCGGGUAUCGAACAGGAUUAGAUACCCGAGUAGUCC
rnacentral:rRNA from 1 species